rnacentral:tRNA from 1 species
GGGCCCUUAGCUCAGUCGGUAGAGCAUCUGACUUUUAAUCAGGGGGUCGAAGGUUCGAAUCCUUCAGGGCCCGCCA